GGUGGAUGCCUAAAAACUAGCCAGAGUGGACCAGCAGGCCAUGGGGGAGUCCCUUUUCCCCCAAGCACUACCAGGAGUAACAAGGAACAAUGGCCAUAAGUUGACCGAGAGUAGAUUCAGGCUAG